rnacentral:rRNA from 1 species
UACGGGGGGAGCAAGCGUUGUUCGGAUUUACUGGGCGUAAAGGGCGCGUAGGCGGCCUCUGCAAGUCGACUGUGAAAUCUCCGGGCUUAACCCGGAACGGUCAGCCGAUACUGCAGGGCUAGAGUGCAGAAGGGGCAACCGGAAUUCUCGGUGUAGCGGUGAAAUGCGUAGAUAUCGAGAGGAACACCGAUGGCGAAGGCAGAUCUCUGGGCCGGUAACUGACGCUGAGGAGCGAAAGCAUGGGGAGCGAACAGG